GACGAAAUAGUUUAAUUAAAAAUAUCUAUUUUACACGUAGGAGAUGGGGUGAACCCUAUUGUCA
rnacentral:tRNA from 1 species